UACGAAGGGGGCUAGCGUUGCUCGGAAUUACUGGGCGUAAAGGGCGCGUAGGCGGACAGUUUAGUCAGAGGUGAAAGCCCAGGGCUCAACCUUGGAAUUGCCUUUGAUACUGGCUGUCUUGAGUUCGGGAGAGGUGAGUGGAAUGCCGAGUGUAGAGGUGAAAUUCGUAGAUAUUCGGCGGAACACCAGUGGCGAAGGCGACUCACUGGCCCGAUACUGACGCUGUGGCGCGAAAGCGUGGGGAGCAAACAGG
rnacentral:rRNA from 1 species